rnacentral:misc_RNA from 1 species
GGGGGAUUGGGUCUCGCAUCC